rnacentral:rRNA from 1 species
AUUGAACGCUGGCGGCAGGCUUAACACAUGCAAGUCGAGCGGGGAAAGGUAGCUUGCUACCUGACCUAGCGGCGGACGGGUGAGUAAUGCUUAGGAAUCUGCCUAUUAGUGGGGGACAACAUUCCGAAAGGAAUGCUAAUACCGCAUACGCCCUACGGGGGAAAGCAGGGGAUCUUCGGACCUUGCGCUAAUAGAUGAGCCUAAGUCAGAUUAGCUAGUUGGUGGGGUAAAGGCCUACCAAGGCGACGAUCUGUAGCGGGUCUGAGAGGAUGAUCCGCCACACUGGGACUGAGACACGGCCCAGACUCCUACGGGAGGCAGCAGUGGGGAAUAUUGGACAAUGGGCGAAAGCCUGAUCCAGCCAUGCCGCGUGUGUGAAGAAGGCCUUUUGGUUGUAAAGCACUUUAAGCGAGGAGGAGGCUACUUGGAUUAAUACUCUAGGAUAGUGGACGUUACUCGCAGAAUAAGCACCGGCUAACUCUGUGCCAGCAGCCGCGGUAAUAC